AAGUCGUAACAAGGUUUCCGUAGGUGAACCUGCGGAAGGAUCAUUAACAAAUCCCUGUUCAUUCUUGCAUUGUUGUAGAAACGUGAGUGUGGAUUCAUUCCAUUUCAUUUCUCCACAUCCAGUACAAGGAUAACACAAGUUCCAUGCUGCAUUGUUUAUACAGCUGCACAUGACAUUUCUGCAAAUUAUCUGAUUAUAUCAUUACAAAACAAAGCAAAUAACUUUUAACAAUGGAUCUCUAGGCUCUU
rnacentral:misc_RNA from 1 species